rnacentral:lncRNA from 1 species
UGAGGACUUGAUUUUGCAGGUGCUCUUCACCGACGACAGACGAAAGAAAGUUGGCCAUAAUAGAUUGACGCAUCAGGUAGGGGGAAAGCCACUAUCAACCGUGCCGAGAAUCAAAGCUCAAUACUCGAUUGGAUCGGCGAGGCAGUCUUUCCAUUGGAAAGCUGUUCCUCCUCCACCUCCAGUGGUAGAGCCCAGUUCUUCGCAUUCUGUGGUCACCACAG